rnacentral:lncRNA from 1 species
CUGGAACACAGCAAAUAUCCGAGUGAACAUAGCAAUUUUUAAGGACGCAUUCCCUUCCCGAUAAUGACAAAGUUGAGCUUUGGGGCCCUUCCCUCGACACUGCGAUUCUGGCAGAGAUCGAUGCAUUGCAAAACUCUGGCUUCUCUAUCAAUGCUCUGGAGUGCUUGAGCUGUUAUUAUCAUGUCCUUGCACAAGAAUUCAAACGAGAUCACAAGCAAAGUUAGGAGACUGAAAUAGAGGACUAAGUCCUUCGCGAAAGUAAAUGAGAAAGCUCUGAUAAAUGGAGGUCUUCCUGUCGAUUCUCUGAAAUACUCAAGCUGGUAUUGGCAUGUCCCCUCAGUUGAGGGCUGGCUGCGCUGCCGAGCAGCGACAAG